CCCUUAGAUGUUCUGGGCUGCACGCGCGCUACACUGACGCACGCAACAGGUGCCUGCUCCGAGAGGACUGGGUAAUCAUUUGAGUGUGCGUCGUGAUGGGGAUAGAAUAUUGUAAUUAUUACUCUUCAACGAGGAAUUCCUAGUAAGCGCAAGUCAUCAACUUGCGUUGAUUACGUCCCUGCCCUUUGUACACACCGCCCGUCGCUACUACCGAUUGAAUGGUUUAGUGAGGCCUUCGGAUCCGCGAUUUUAUUGUGGAGAAGUUGGACAAACUCAGUCAUUUAGAGGAAGUAAAAGUCGUAACA
rnacentral:rRNA from 1 species